CUUGGUCAUUUAGAGGAAGUAAAAGUCGUAACAAGGUUUCCGUAGCAUAAGGAACACGAAGUUGAUUCUUCCGUGGUUAAACUUAUAGAAGCCUUAGUAACCCAGAAAUGGGAGGCCACACGACUGUAAAUAAAGUGGCCGUAUACUAGUUAACAUUAUUGUUAGCAACAUAACCAGACUGGAGGGAACUCCUAAAGCACCUGCUAAUUACAGGUGAUGCGGGCUACCCACAACGAUUCUCCGUCACUUUUAACUGGGAACGUUUACAGACUAAGUAGUUAUGGGCAGGACUAUACCGUGUUCUGUUUAAGAUAUAGUCGGGCCUGAUGGUUACCCAUCAGGGUCUCGAUGUGAAUUUCAAGUACAGUUUCCUUUUUAAAACUUGUAGGCCCUGUACUCUAAUUCAACGCGAGAUUAUGGCAACCGUUCCGUAGGUGAACCUGCGGAAGGAUCAUUACAAGAGAAAAGCCAGAGCUGAAAGCCCCGAACUAGGGGCAAGUACUCUCUAGCUUUAUACUCCCAUCCUUUGUAUAUUUUACCUCUGUUGCUUUAGCAGGCCCGUCUUUAGACUGCUGGCUCCGGCUCGUUAGUGCCUGCUAAAGAACCUAAAACUCUUGUUAAUAAUGCCGUCAGAGUACUAUAUAAUAGUUAAAACUUUCAACAACGGAUCUCUUGGUUCUGGCAUCGAUGAAGAACGCAGCGAAAUGCGAUAAGUAAUGUGAAUUGCAGAAUUCAGUGAAUCAUCGAAUCUUUGAACGCACAUUGCGCCCUCUGGUAUUCCGGGGGGCAUGCCUAUUCGAGCGUCAUUACAACCCUCAAGCUAUGCUUGGUAUUUGGUCCUACCUGCUAGGCAGGCCGUAAAAUUAGUGGCGGUGCUAUUUGGCUCCAGGCGCAGUAAAUUACCUCGCCUUGGAUGUCUGAUAUGUGCCUACCAGCAACCACAAUUUUUUAACAGGUUGACCUCGGAUUAGGUAGGGAUACCCGCUGAACUUAAGCAUAUCAAUAAGCGGAGGA
rnacentral:rRNA from 1 species